UCAUGGUCAGAUAUGCUUGAAGGAUUAGUUCCCAGUUCUAGAAAUAGGUGAGAGACACAGGGAGGAAGAGAGAAUGUAGACAGAAGGCAUGUUUUAGCUCACCCGAUUUCAUAAAGUAUAUAGAGUGAUUAAGACAUGUUUAAUCCUUAACUAAUUGAGAACACUCCAUUUCAAAUCUUGUUUAGACAACAGAAAACACAAGUUUUCAAUAAAACUUCUCUUAAUGUAAAUAAAGGAAGUUGUUUAAAAUACUCAUCUGAGAUGCUCUGUGUGUCAAUCAUCUCACUCUAGGACAAAGUACCAGAGAUGAUGACUUAGCAGAGAGAUUUUCACAAGGCUCCACCCCCUGCUGCAGAGCCACCAGCAAUUAGUUAACAGUUGCUGGGUGAAGCUCAACCAGUCUUCUCCUGGGAUGAUCCAAUACCACAGAAAUGAUGCUGGCAACUGAGUCACCAGAACAAUCUGGAAGCCGUCAACACUGGGGCAAGGGCCCCUUCCCAGCAUGAAGAGGAAGACCAGGUGCAGACCAGGCACAAACCAGGCUAUGCACUAGGGAAUGGGAUGUGAACUUGGGCAAAGGUGCUUCUGAGAGUGCGAAUAGCUCCACUGAGUUCCGAGAGAGCCCAAGGAGACAAUCUUCUGAAGACCUCACUCCUGCCCAGAGCUAAGGGAGAAAUAACUCAGUCACCGAAGAGGGCAAUCAGUCUUUUGCGUGAACUCAACAUGGCCUCAGCGUUCAUCUUCACUGGUCCACACUGCUGAGAAAGAAGGGUUUCUAACAUCCCAUUAGGAGACAGAGAUACGUGUAAACAGUAAUUGUCAGUUAAAAUAAAAGACAAAAAGGCAUCCACUUAGAGUUUUAGUUUCCUUUUGAUCCUGACUUACAAAUCAUCACUACAGAGUGAGGGGUGCAAUGGUUUAAAGUAACUUCCUUCAUGUUUGAAAAUGACUGGAAAUUAAUUUCUAAAACACUGAGCCUUUUUGGCGAAGGCUUAAUGUC